rnacentral:rRNA from 1 species
CUUCAACGGAGAGUUUGAUCCUGGCUCAGGACGAACGCUGGCGGCGUGCUUAACACAUGCAAGUCGAACGGUAAGGCCCUUCG